UUNCAAAGGNAGCAUAAUAAUUAGUUUAUUAAUUGUAAAAUUGUAUGAAUGAAUUUAUAAAGAUAGAUUUGUCUUUAUUUUAAGUUUUGAAUUUUAUUUUUUUAUAAAAAAGUUAAAAUGUUUUAAUAGGACGAGAAGACCCUAUAAAUCUUUUAUUUUAAAUUGGAUGUUAAUAAAUUUAUUGUAAUUUAAAAUUUUGAUGGGGCGACAUGUGAAAAAUAAAACUUCAUUUAAAAUUAAAGUUUUGAUAAAAAUUUUAAAGUUUUGAUCCUUUAUAAAGAUUAUAAAAAAUAAGUUACUUUAGGGAUAACAGCAUAAUUUUUUUGGAAAGUUCUUAUUGAUAAAAAAAGUUUGUGACCUCGAUGUUGGAGUAAAUAUAUAUAAG
rnacentral:rRNA from 1 species